rnacentral:misc_RNA from 1 species
ACAUAUGUGCUCGCCUUCACACUCUUCAUCCACUCAACCCCUGUGCACUUUAUCAGAGUUAGUAAUAGUAUUGUGGUGGCGGCCAUUUGUUGUUAUUCAUUGUUAGAAGCGGGGGUAACCCUGUCUGGCAAUAGUAAUGAUAAUAAUCUUGGUUCUACUACUACUACUACUACUAUGAACACUUUGACUUUUAUUUAUACAAACACUUUGCUUGUUCUUGUGAAUGUGUAAUGCUCCUUGUGAGCGAAAUACAAAUAUACAACUUUCAACAACGGAUCUCUUGGCUCUCGCAUCGAUGAAGAACGCAGCGAAAUGCGAUAAGUAAUGUGAAUUGCAGAAUUCAGUGAAUCAUCGAAUCUUUGAACGCACCUUGCGCCCCUUGGUAUUCCGAGGGGCAUGCCUGUUUGAGUGUCAUGUAAUUCUCAAUCCUCUUCUUCUUAACUGAAGAAAAAGAGGCUUGGACUUGGAGGUAUACACAAGCUGGUACUGUUUGGUAUCGGCUCCUCUCAAAUACAUUAGCUGGACUGUAGUUCGCAUUGUUUGGUGUAAUAGUUCUAUCUUAUUUCACUACAGUGCUUACUUAGACGGGUCUGCUUCCAAUAGUCCGCCUAUGUGU